rnacentral:rRNA from 1 species
UACAGAGGUCUCAAGCGUUGUUCGGAUUCAUUGGGCGUAAAGGGUGCGUAGGUGGCGCCGUAAGUCAGGUGUGAAGUUUCGGAGCUUAACUCCGAAACUGCAUUUGAUACUGCGGUGCUUGAGGACUGGAGAGGAGACUGGAAUUUACGGUGUAGCAGUGAAAUGCGUAGAGAUCGUAAGGAAGACCAGUGGCGAAGGCGGGUCUCUGGACAGUUCCUGACACUGAGGCACGAAGGCCAGGGGAGCAAACGGG